UCGUUUCUUCGUUCGUUCUUCGUUCGACCGCGGUGCCGUCCACAGCGAAUGCGAUUCCCUUCCCGACUAAACUGCUUCUGUGAUCUCAAAAGAGUUGGAUCGAUCCGAACCCCCUGCUCGCCUUCCAAUUCUGUGCCGCGGUGGUUGAAUUCAUCGCAGCGGAUCGAUGGGAGGAUAAGGUGGUAGAUUCGUGUGAUCGUUUUCCUUCUUCCGUUUGUUUCCUCAGGGAAGGAAGGAGGGAAGACCGGGGGAGAGAGAGAGAGAGAGGGGCAGCGAUGAAACGGUUCAGGAACGGGGAGAUUUGGGGUUUUGAGGCGCAGGCGCCGACGGGACCCGCCGACGGUGUUGUCCUUGGCGUCGACGGGGGCACCACCUCCACCGUCUGCGUCUGCCUGCCCGCCGCCGGGCCGCUGCCGGAUCCCUUGCCCAUCCUUUCCCGCGCCGUCGGUGGGUGCUCCAACCACAACUCAGUCGGAGAAAAUGCUGCAAGGGAGACCCUAGAGGAGGUUAUGGCUCAAGCUCUUUCAAAGGCUUGCUACAGUCGUAAAGCUGUUCGAGCAGUCUGCUUAGCCGUAUCUGGAGUAAAUCAUCCUACAGAUCAACAGAGGAUACUAGAUUGGCUCCGAGAUAUAUUCCCAAAUAGUGUCAAGUUUUACGUUGAAAAUGAUGCCGUUGCAGCAUUGGCCAGUGGCACAAUGGGAAAGCUCCAUGGCUGUGUAUUAAUUGCAGGCACAGGCACCAUUGCUUAUGGGUUCACUGAGGAUGGAAAAGAAGCCAGAGCUGCUGGUGCAGGACCAGUCUUGGGUGAUUGGGGGAGUGGAUAUGGCAUUGCUGCACAGGCAUUGACUGCCGUGAUUAGGGCACAUGAUGGUCGGGGACCUCAGACAAAGUUAACGAAAAGCAUUCUUGACAUGCUUGAGCUUCCUUCACCAGAUGAACUGAUUGGGUGGACUUAUGCAGAUCCCUCAUGGGCUCGUAUUGCUGCACUUGUUCCCAUUGUGGUAUCUACCGCUGAAGAUGGCGAUGAAGUUGCAAAUAGGAUAUUAUAUGACUCUGUACAGGAGUUGGCAGACAGUAUCAUAGCAGUUGUUAGAAGACUUAGAUUGUGUGGCGAAGAUGGCAAAGAGGCCUUCCCACUUGUUAUGGUUGGAGGUGUUCUUGAAGCUAAUAAGAGAUGGGAUAUUGGAAAGGAAGUUGUAAACUGCGUUUCCAAGAUUUUCCCAGGGGCCCUACCUAUUCGACCCAAGCUAGAGCCAGCAGUUGGGGCAGCAUUGGUGGCCUGGAACCGAUCCAUGAGAGAACUUAACGAUGUUCGGGAAGGUGAUUCCCCUCAAAUAUCGGUGCUACAAUAACAAAUAUUGGGUGAGUAUCAACUACAACUUUGUUGAAAGUGAAGACUCCACACUCUUCACAGGCACCUCAUCAAUUGUUAUCGUCCCAAGGAAUAUAUGAUGCUAUGAUAUAAAUGGGAAUCAACUAGGUCAGACCUACAUGCUAUUUCACAACUCGUUCUUCCCAACAGAUUGAUAUACAGUUUGUUGUUGUUGUUGCAUUGUUUUUCUCGAUACAAGAUGGCAUUACUGGAUCCAAUACUUGGGUUGCUUCAUCACAUAUGAUUAAUGUGUGUCAUUGGAUGUUGGAACUUGGUUAGGUAUGGUAUUGUACAUAUCAGAAGCGUCAGUCGGCGCAUCCGUUUGGAGUGCGUGUGCAUUAGGGAAUCUCAUGAUGACAAUGCUGAGUCAAAGUGCUCGGUGGGCUCUUCAUGUUUUAUCAUUGAUUUCAGUGUGUGGUAAUCUUGUGAACA